GCGACGACGGGGUAGCCGGCCUGAGAGGGCGACCGGCCACACUGGGACUGAGACACGGCCCAGACUCCUACGGGAGGCAGCAGUGGGGAAUAUUGCACAAUGGGCGAAAGCCUGAUGCAGCGACGCCGCGUGAGGGAUGACGGCCUUCGGGUUGUAAACCUCUUUCAGCAGGGAAGAAGCGAAAGUGACGGUACCUGCAGAAGAAGCGCCGGCUAACUACGUGCCAGCAGCCGCGGUAAUACGUAGGGCGCAAGCGUUGUCCGGAAUUAUUGGGCGUAAAGAGCUCGUAGGCGGCUUGUCACGUCGGAUGUGAAAGCCCGGGGCUUAACCCCGGGUCUGCAUUCGAUACGGGCAGGCUAGAGUGUGGUAGGGGAGAUCGGAAUUCCUGGUGUAGCGGUGAAAUGCGCAGAUAUCAGGAGGAACACCGGUGGCGAAGGCGGAUCUCUGGGCCAUUACUGACGCUGAGGAGCGAAAGCGUGGGGAGCGAACAGGAUUAGAUACCCUGGUAGUCCACGCCGUAAACGUUGGGAACUAGGUGUUGGCGACAUUCCACGUCGUCGGUGCCGCAGCUAACGCAUUAAGUUCCCCGCC
rnacentral:rRNA from 1 species